CAGAUACAGAGGAUGUCGCAUAGGAUUCAAAGAAGUACCCGUAUGUCCAUAUUAUGGUCACGAGGAAUCUCCGUGUAAUGGUUAUCAUUGUCCUCCAAGACCAGGUUCCUGGAGUUCUUGGAGUAGUAGUCCGUGUAGUAAAUCUUGUGGAGGGGGCAUGAAAACAAAAUACCGAACCUGUAUCUGUCCUAUUCCUUUUCUUGGAGGACAAGGAUGCUAUGGAAAAUCAAUGGAAACUGUCUCUUGUAACACUCACUUAUGUCCAGUAAAUGGUGCUUGGUCCAGUUGGCAAAACCCUUCUCGCUGUACUGUUUCUUGUGGAGGGGGAGUAAGCAUACGGACCAGAAAAUGUAACAACCCUUCACCAUCUCACGGAGGAAAAACGUGUCGGGGAGUGUCGGUUCAUACAGAAUCUUGCAACACCCAGUCUUGUCCAGGUUACAUUAAUUUCCAUUUAAAUGUUGAUUCUCCGAGUU